rnacentral:rRNA from 1 species
AUGAACGCUGGCGGCGUGCUUAACACCUGCCAGUCGAACGGAAAGGCUCCUGCUUGCAGGGGUACUCGAGUGGCGAACGGGUGAGUAACACGUGGGUGAUCUGCCCUGCACUUCGGGAUAAGCCUGGGAAACUGGGUCUAAUACCGGAUAGGACCACAUUUUGGAUGGUGUGGUGGAAAGUUUUUCGGUGUGGGAUGAGCUCGCGGGCUAUCAGCUUGUUGGUGGGGUAAUGGCCUACCAAGGCGUCGACGGGUAGCCGGCCUGCGAGGGUGUACGGCCACAUUGGGACUGAGAUACGGCGCAGACUCCUACGGGAGGCAGCAGGGGGGAAUAUUGCACAAUGGGCGCAAGCCUGAGGCAGCGACGCCGCGUGGGGGAUGACGGCCUUCGGGUUGUAAACUCCUUUCGCUAGGGACGAAGCGCAAGUGACGGUACCUGGAGAAGAAGCACCGGCUAACUACGUG